rnacentral:rRNA from 1 species
GACGAACGCUGGCGGCGCGCCUAACACAUGCAAGUCGAACGGAGCUGAGAGAAGCUUGCUUUUCUUAGCUUAGUGGCGAACGGGUGAGUAACGCGUGAGUACCCUCCCCUGGAGUGGGGGACAACAGUUGGAAACUACUUCUAAUACCGCAUAAGCCCACGAUCCGGCAUCUUUUUGAGGGAAAAGGAUUUAUUCGCUUCCGGAUGGACUCUCGUCCAAUUUGCUAGUUUGUGAGGUUACGGCCCACCAAGGCGACGAGUGGUCGCCGGACUGGGAGGUUGGACCAGCACACUGGGGCUGGGACACGGAGCGAACUCCUAGGAAAGGAAGGAGGGGGGGAUAAUGCACGACGGGGGAGAGCAUGAUGCAGCGGGGCCGCGUAGAGGAAGAAGGUGUGAGGAUUGUAAACGCCUGUCGAUAGGGACGAUAGUGACGGUACCUAACAAGAAAGCGCCGGCUAACUACGUG